rnacentral:rRNA from 1 species
UAGUUGGUAAGGUAACGGCUUACCAAGGCGACGAUCAGUAGCCGACCUGAGAGGGUGAUCGGCCACAUUGGAACUGAGACACGGUCCAAACUCCUACGGGAGGCAGCAGUGGGGAAUAUUGCACAAUGGGCGAAAGCCUGAUGCAGCAACGCCGCGUGAGUGAUGAAGGCCUUCGGGUCGUAAAACUCUGUCCUCAAGGAAGAUAAUGACGGUACUUGAGGAGGAAGCCCCGGCUAACUACGUGCCAGCAGCCGCGGUAAUACGUAGGGGGCUAGCGUUAUCCGGAUUUACUGGGCGUAAAGGGUGCGUAGGCGGUCUUUCAAGUCAGGAGUGAAAGGCUACGGCUCAACCGUAGUAAGCUCUUGAAACUGGGAGACUUGAGUGCAGGAGAGGAGAGUGGAAUUCCUAGUGUAGCGGUGAAAUGCGUAGAUAUUAGGAGGAACACCAGUUGCGAAGGCGGCUCUCUGGACUGUAACUGACGCUGAGGCACGAAAGCGUGGGGAGCAAACAGGAUUA